rnacentral:rRNA from 1 species
GGUUAAUGCUAGCGGUGCGCCUAACACAUGCAAGUCGAGCGGGAGUUGAUUAUAGCUUGCUAUAAUUAAUGAGAGCGGCGAACGGGUGAGUAAUGCUUAGGAAUCUGCCUAUUAGUGGGGGACAACAUCUCGAAAGGGAUGCUAAUACCGCAUACGUCCUACGGGAGAAAGCAGGGGCUCACUUGUGACCUUGCGCUAAUGGAUGAGCCUAAGUCGGAUUAGGUAGUUGGUGGGGUAAAGGCCUACCAUGGGGACGAUGUGUCGGGGGGCUGGGAAGAUGAACCGACAAACUGGGACUGAGACACGGCCCAGACUCCUACGGGAGGCAGCGGUGGGGAAUAGUGGAAAAUGGGGGGAACCCUGAUCCAGCCAUGCCGCGUGUGUGAAGAAGGCCUUAUGGUUGUAAGGCACUUUAAGCGAGGAGGAGGCUACUGAGACUAAAACUCUUGGAUAGUGGACGUUACUCGCUGAAUAAGCACCGGCUAACUCUGUGCCAGCCGCCGCCGUAA